rnacentral:snRNA from 9 species
GUGCCUCAAUCUAAUGAGUAAGGAAAUUAUUGGGCCUUGGUAACACUUGGCAAUUGUCCUUAUUAGGGCGAACUUAUUUUUGUUGGGUACAGGUCGUCCCCUUGAGCCGCUCGCCUACUUUGCAAGCGGCUCGGGUGAAGCGAUUUGCCCU